UCUGAUGAUAUCGGGGUGUAUAGUUGUAUGAUGGGUUCAAUAAUCCGAGCCUUUUCUUCCUUAUCUGGAAUUUCCCUAUCAAUUUCUCUGAUUUGAUGAGUAACAAAUUGUUAAUGAAGUUCUUAAACCUUUCGUAUUAAUUUCAACGAACUUUGUGUCAUGAAUUAACAAAGACAACAAUCUAAAGAUGACAAUUUAAUCAUCACUAAGAAGGAAAAAUUCAAAACCCAUAGCAUACCUUUGAGCCCAAGUUCAUAAAUUAAAUCAAUAUUGAAAUGUGUUAAUACUUUAGGACUGACGAGAAUUGAAAUUUGGAUGUAGGAUCAUUUGAUAUCACUUAAAUUACCCUAAAAAGUGAUGUGUAUUCUCUCAAAUAAGAGGUUGAGUUGUAGCACUUAGGGAUCAAAUUCACAAGGAGCUAAGGGACACACCUAUCUUCUUUUUCCAUUCUAGAUAAGCAUCUGGAUCGUCCUUCCCAUAAAUAUGUAGGACGUGGUGAAAUAUAUAUAGCGGAUUGGCCGAAUUUUUUUAAAGGACGUGGCAUAGCUGAGCAUUAAGGGUAUUCCCUUUUUAGUAUAGGAAGUACUCUGUAGAGUCUAAUAGUUGGGAAUAUUUGAUAUACAAACAAAGAUACCAAGUCAAUAGAUAUAGUAAGCAUGAAAGAUAUACGUGUAUCUUCGUAUGAGAAAAUCAACGUCUCAAAGGAAACACAAAUCUGAUGAUAUCGGGGUGUAUAGUUGUAUGAUGGGUUCAAUAAUCCGAGCCUUUUCUUCCUUAUCUGGAAUUUCCCUAUCAAUUUCUCUGAUUUGAUGAGUAACAAAUUGUUAAUGAAGUUCUUAAACCUUUCGUAUUAAUUUCAACGGACUUUGUGUCAUGAAUUAACAAAGACAACAAUCUAAAGAUGACAAUUUAAUCAUCACUAAGAAGGAAAAAUUCAAAACCCAUAGCAUACCUUUGAGCCCAAGUUCAUAAAUUAAAUCAAUAUUGAAAUGUGUUAAUACUUUAGGACUGACGAGAAUUGAAAUUUGGAUGUAGGAUCAUUUGAUAUCACUUAAAUUACCCUAAAAAGUGAUGUGUAUUCUCUCAAAUAAGAGGUUGAGUUGUAGCACUUAGGGAUCAAAUUCACAAGGAGCUAAGGGACACAAAAUAUCUAGUAGUUAUGUGGUUAAGCUAGGUCGAAUGGUUUAAAUGUAAAUAGCAGGGGUGAGCAAAGUAAUUGCUUGGUUGAUUGAUCGAGGUUUUCAAACAGAUAAGAAAGGCGUUAGACUUAGGGUUUCUAUUCAGACAAUCAUGAUUAUAGAGAUAUAGAGACUAAGUGUAUGUUGGAUAUUCUAGAACUA
rnacentral:lncRNA from 1 species